rnacentral:lncRNA from 1 species
CUUUCGGGUUCUAGGCAGCCGUGGGCGCUGCGACCCUUCUCUCACUGUCAGAGGGGCGGGAGCUCUCGGCCUGCGCCGCCUCCGCUGCCUGCUUGGUCGCGGGCUUGCCGGGAAUGGUGACAGCCCGGGCCCCCUCUUGGCCAAAGAAGUCCUCGAAAGCGUUCGGCGCACGGGCUUUGUCCAGCUUUUUAAACCGUAACAAGGACCGGGGCCGGGCGCGGUGGCUCACGCCUGUAAUCCCAGCAUUUUGGGAAGUCGAGGCGGACGGAUUACUUGAGGUCAUGAGUUCGAGACCAGCCUGGCCAACACGAUGGAGUCUUGCUCCCAUGCUGGAGUGCAGUGGCGUGAUCUCGGCUGACUGUAACCUCCGCCUCCCGGGUUCAAGUGAUUCUCCUGCCUCAGCCUCCGGAGUAGCUGGGAUUACAGCAAAGAUAUCCAGACGCUGUAUGCAGGAAGAACUGAAUUUCAGAGGACACCGUUUGAUCUUCAACACCUGGCAGUUUACAAAACAGAGACGGGGUGUCGCCAUGUUGCCCAGGCUGGUCUCGAACUCUGGAGCUCAAGCGAUCUGCCUGCCUCGGCCUUUCAAAGUGCUGAGACUACAGCCUGAAGAGGAGAGGGGGAAUCCUGGUGAGAAGCAUUUGGAAUUCAAGCUCAGAGAAGAAGACACGGAGUCCCAGCUGAGAACUCAAACUGGUAGAAGGAAGAUUAUUUUUCCUUCUCUAUAGGUGCUUGGAGGUAACGAGGGGAAAGGAGUUGAAAGGAAGGU